UGCAUGGUGGCGCAGUUGGCAGCACUGUCACUUUUCAGCAAGAAGGUCCUGGGUUCAAUUCCUGGCCAGGGGCCU